GGCUUGGGGUGUGUUUGUGUAGCCGAACUGAACAAGACGAAUACCCAGACGCAUCUUCUCAACUGCCCUGGCUGUAGUAACCUGCCGCCACCCAGCACACUGUGGGAGUCCAUGUUCCUUGAUGCCAGUUUCCUGGCUUGUAACAACACUUGUGAUGUGACUGCCUGCGAAACUCUCAUCAACAUGGUCAUUCUGGAAGCCUUCUCUU